rnacentral:ncRNA from 1 species
UUCGCUAGGGGUGCGGCGUCAUGCCGCUGAGAGGAAUGCCAACCCUAUGAACCUGCUCCGGAUAAUGCCGGCGAAGGGAAGCGC